rnacentral:rRNA from 1 species
UUAUUAAAAUUUUAUUGUAUAAAAUUUAUUCUAUAUAUUGUUUAUAAAAAAUAUUUUUUUGUUUAUGUAUUAAUUAAUGAUUAAAUUAAUUUAAUUAUAAUUUAUUUGUACUGUAAGGGAUAAUUUGUAUUAAAAUAUAAGUUAAAUUUGAUUUUUGUACCUUGUGUAUUAGGGUUAAUUAAAAAUUAAUUAGAAAUUUUAAUUAUCUCGAUUUCAUUUGAGUUAAUAAAUUAUUUAUAUUAUUGUUUUAUAAAUAUUUAUAAUAAUUUAUUAGGAGUGAUAUGUUAAUCGUAUAUGAUGAUAUCUAGUUUUCUAGGAAAUAAUUUUAAUUUACGUAUUUUUAAUAAAUUUUAGUUAAUAAAUUUUGUUUAAUAUGAAUAUUAAUGAGGAUAAGCUCUUUAAUUUAAUAUUAUAAAGUGUAUUUAUAUUGAAAUUUUUAUGAAUUUAAUGGUAAUUUAUAAUUUAAGUUUGUUACAAAUUGGAUUUUUUAUUUUAAUGAUUUUAAUACUUUUAAUAUUUUACUGGAAAAAUUUAAUGAAUUUAUCAUUAGAUUUUAUAAUGAUUAAAUUAGUAUAUGUAUAUUAAUAAUAAAAAUAUUUCUUAGGAAUUAGGCAAAAAUUUUAUUCGUCUGUUUAUCAAAAACAUUUCUUCUUGUUUUGGAUUUGAAGUAUAACCUGCCCAAUGAAAUAUUUAAUGGCCGCGGUAUACUGACCGUGCAAAGGUAGCAUAAUAAUUAGUCUUUUAAUUAAAGGCUAGAAUGAAUGGUUGAACGAAAUAAAUUCUGUCUUUGAUUUAUUUAAUUGAAUUUAAUUAUUAAGUUAAAAAGCUUAAAUAGAUUUAUGGGACGAUAAGACCCUAUAGAAUUUAAUAAUUUUAUAAAUGAUUUGUUUGACUUUAUAUAAUUUAUUUGAUUAUUUUGUUGGGGUGAUGAUAAGAUAUAAGUAACUCUUAUUUAUUUAUAAAUAUUUAUUUAUAUAUUAUUGAUCCAAUAUUUGUGAUUAUAAGAUGAAAUUACCUUAGGGAUAACAGCAUAAUCUCUUUUGAGAGUUCAAAUUGAUGAAGAGGUUUGUGACCUCGAUGUUGGAUUAAGAAUAGAUUUAUGUGUAGCUGCUAAAAAUCUAGGUCUGUUCGACCUUUAAUUUCUUACAUGAUCUGAGUUCAAACCGGUGUGAGCCAGGUUGGUUUCUAUCUAUUAAAUAUUAUAAUAUCAUAGUACGAAAGGACCAGAUAUUUAAAAUAAUUUUUGUUUAUUGAUUUUAAUUAA